CGCGCACACCCUCCGAGUCACUUCGGAUCCUUGCCCGCCCGGCCGCGCCCGGCUCGCGUGGCCUGGCUUGGCCUCCGCCCGGCCCUCGGAAAGGAUGUGAUUUCCGCCCUCCAGGCAGGUGCAAGGCCUUCCAGGGCGUGAAGAGGAAAUCGAGGAGCCAAAAGCCUGGACAACGGAGUGGUGAUAGUUCUGCCACCCUUUCCCAGCUGGCUAUGUGGCUUAAGCGACACCAUGUGGAUGGUGAAUCUUAGAAGCAAUUCCUGUUAUCCUAGGAGAACCAGUCUUGAGAAUCUGAUAAAAGAAAAAAAAAGAAAAGAAAACCACAAGAAUAUUGAAAUGGAAUGUAAAUAACAGAUAACAAUUAUGAGGCUACAGUUCCUUCUGCUAACAACCUACAAUAAGGAUUCAAAUGUGUGGGUGCCGGACACCACUCUCUGGUGGGGACUGCAGAGCAGUGAGGGUCAAAGUGCUAACCUUUCAUGCAGAUGCUCGUUGUGUCUGCUCUUUUGGAUGUAUAGGGCUAAAAAUUAUUCUUUUAAAAAGAUUCCGAAUAUGGGUGUGGGAGGUGGAAACCAGGUGGGCCACCAUGAAGGCUGCAAUGAGCAAUUUGUUCACACUGAGGCUUUCAAGACAGCUCCUUUCGUGACCCAUGGGCCUGCGUGUGUUCCGCCGUCAGUUAAAAUGAUUACCCUCUGGGUGGAUGACUUUGGCUGCUACACGAUCGGUUGUCAGAUCUUUCAUCCGAUGGCCAGCGAGGCUACAAGUAGGGAACACCUCGGUUCAUUUCCACCAUGCGUUCUUGGGUUCAUAAGAGACGAUGUUUCUCCCUUCUCUGUCUCUGUCCCCAGAACCUAGCAAUGAGAUAACAAGCAGGUGCUCAUUUUGAAUAAUUAGUUUGCCUCUGUGUGGACCUAGGUGCAGCUGAGCAAAAGGAUCCUGAAGGAGGUGGCCUGGCCUGAAAUAAAAUCUCAGUGACUGGAGUGCCUAAGGGAGCACAAUGUUUAGUGUUCUUUAAGCUGAUGAAGCUAUCAGAGAAAUUUGGAAGAAUUCAUGUUUUAUAACUUUGUAGAAGAUCUAGGAACCCAGCAUCAGGCAUUGUUUUAAUUUUAAAAAGUAUUGUACUAUAACUUUUUGAAUUGAUUGGAAAUUGUGUGAAUGUAAGAUGUUGAUUGAUAUAUGUGUAUGUGUAUCCAUUC